rnacentral:rRNA from 1 species
GACGAACGCUGGCGGCGUGCUUAACACAUGCAAGUCGAACGGUGAAGGGGUCUGCUUUUGUGGGCCCUGGAUGAGUGGCGAACGGGUGAGUAACACGUGAGUAACCUGCCCCCUUCUUUUGGAUAACCGCAUGAAAGUGUGGCUAAUACGGGAUAUUCUGGGUCUGUCGCAUGAUGGGUCUGGGAAAGAUUGCGCCUUUGGGUGUUUUUGGUGGGGGAUGGGCUCGCGGCCUAUCAGCUUGUUGGUGGGGUGAUGGCCUACCAAGGUGGUGACGGGUAGCCGGCCUGAGAGGGUGGACGGUCACACUGGGACUGAGACACGGCCCAGACUCCUACGGGAGGCAGCAGUGGGGAAUAUUGCACAAUGGGCGCAAGCCUGAUGCAGCGACGCCGCGUGAGGGAUGGAGGCCUUCGGGUUGUAAACCUCUUUCGCCAGUGAAGCAGGCCUGCUCCUUGUGGGUGUGUUGACGGUAGCUGGAUAAGAAGCGCCGGCUAACUACGUG